UUGGAGGGCAAGUCUGGUGCCAGCAGCCGCGGUAAUUCCAGCUCCAAUAGCGUAUAUUAAAGUUGUUGCAGUUAAAAAGCUCGUAGUUGAAUUUCGGGGUCAGUAGAUUGGUCAUGCCACUGGUAUGUACUGGUCUCACUGAUUCCUCCUUCCUGAUGAGCCGUAAUGCCAUUAAUUUGGUGUUGCGAGGAAUCUGGACUGUUACUUUGAAAARAUUAGAGUGUUUAAAGCAGGCUAACGCUUGAAUACAUUAGCAUGGAAUAAUGAAAUAGGACGUUCGAUCUUAUUUUGUUGGUUUCUAAGAUUGACGUAAUGAUUAAUAGGGAUAGUUGGGGGCAUUAGUAUUCAAUUGUCAGAGGUGAAAUUCUUGGAUUUAUUGAAGACUAACUACUGCGAAAGCAUUUGCCAAGGAUGUUUUCAUUAAUCAAGAACGAAAGUUAGGGGAUCGAAGACGAUCAGAUACCGUCGUAGUCUUAACCAUAAACUAUGCCGACUAGGGAUCGGAUGAUGUUAAUUUUUUAAUGACUCAUUCGGCGCCUUACGGGAAAC
rnacentral:rRNA from 1 species